rnacentral:lncRNA from 1 species
CCGUUGUACAGUAGUCUGCACAUUGGUUUUGCAAACUAGGGACCAAGAAGCCCUCAGGGACUCUGCCAGGGGAGAGGACUGCUCCAGGGAAGACCAGCGGGCUGUACCGUUCCUUUACUUGAGCAGAGUAAACUGGAUCAGAUUACUUAAGGGAGAGGGGAAAGCAAUACAGAAUUAUAGUAACUUUUAAUGGCUGCUAAUAUAUUCUUCGCUGAUUGUAUCUGUCCCUGAGCAAAGGAAACCUGAAGGACCCAAGGGCCUGGCUGGACAGAGUUGUCAUGU